rnacentral:rRNA from 1 species
UACAGAGGGUGCGAGCGUUAAUCGGAAUUACUGGGCGUAAAGCGCGCGUAGGCGGCCUUGCAAGUCGAGUGUGAAAUCCCCAGGCUCAACCUGGGAACUGCUCUCGAGACUGCAUAGCUAGAGUAUGGGAGAGGGAAGUGGAAUUUCAGGUGUAGCGGUGAAAUGCGUAGAUAUCUGAAGGAACAUCAGUGGCGAAAGCGACUUCCUGGACCAAUACUGACGCUCAUGUGCGAAAGCGUGGGGAGCAAACAGG